rnacentral:rRNA from 1 species
CCCUUAGAUGUUCUGGGCCGCACGCGCGCUACACUGACGAAGUCAGCGAGCAUCUCCUACGCCGAAAGGUGCGGGGAAUCUUGUGAAACUUUGUCGUGCUGGGGAUUGAUUUUUGAAAUUCUUGAUCAUAAACGAGGAAUUCCUAGUAAGCGCAAGUCAGCAGCUUGCGUUGAUUACGUCCCUGCCCUUUGUACACACCGCCCGUCGCUACUACCGAUUGAAUGGUUUAGUGAGAUGUUUGGACCGGAACUCUCUUGCUCAGCAAUGGGCGAGAGAGAGUCUGGGAAGUCCCUCUAACUGUAUCAUUUAGAGGAAGUAAAAGGCGUAACA